GACGAACGCUGGCGGCGUGCCUAAUACAUGCAAGUAGGACGCAGUUGCGAACGGGUGAGUAACGCGUAGGUAACUCCCUCUUAGAGGGGGGUAACUAUUGGAAACGCUAGCUAAUACCGCAUACUCGUAGAUGGACAUGCGUUGUAUUGGCUAGUAGGUCGGGUAAUGGCCUACCUAGGCAACGAUACAUCGCCGACCUGAGAUGGGGAGCAGUCACACUGGGACUGGGACAAGGCCCAGACUCCUUCGGUAGGGAGUAGUAGGGGAUCGUCGGCAAUGGGGGGAACCCUGACCCAGCAACGGCGCGGGAGUGAAGGAGGUGUUCGGAUCGUAAAGCGCUGGUGUUAAGGAAGCGGUACUUAACCAGAAAGGGACGGCUAACUACGUGCCAGCAGCCGCGGUAAUAC
rnacentral:rRNA from 1 species